AAGUUGAGAACUUGUCAACAUUUUAUUUAUUAUUCAUAGACGACAUAGGAGAAUAAAGGGUUAAUACAACAGAGAAUUGUGCCACUAUAUUUAUUCAUAACUACGUACGUAGAUAUUAGUAGUAUUAAUUAGUGCAGAUAAUAAUGCACGAUUUGGUGGCAAAUAACUCGAUCUCCUCUCAUAUUUAUGCUUAUAUUCCCUUGUCUCCAGCUGCAUCUGUAGGAGCUCCCUCACCCUCAGAUCCUUGUUUUGGCUUGGCUUCACCCUGCAGAAAUAUUAGCUAUCCCUCAAAAUCUGCUUUUGUCAAUUCCUUCAGUCAUAAAUUAUUGUGUCCAAAUUAAGAGUAGUUAUCUAAUGUCUUUUGUUAAAAGAAGAUGAUACAGUUGUAGUUGCACUCAAGACAAAAAAAACAACAAAAGUAGCUAAAUUUUUUGUCCUCUUAAGAGUAGAAUACAACAGGUACUUUGUAACGUUAACCCUCGGAUAACAUUUCUUGAAAACUGGUCACGCAUGAUUUUUUUUUCCUUUCCUUCACUGAGCCGAUGAUCGAUUGGAAACAGUUUCUCUGCCCUUUCGGGUAGGGUAAGGCUCGUCUACAUAUUACCCUCACCAGACCCCACUUUGUGGGACUACAUUGGAUAGUUGUUGUUGUUGGUCAUGCAUGGUUUAUAUGCGUAGUCACAAUUUUUUUCCUUUAUUCAGUGUCAAAAUGAGUUUUUGUUGAUCCAAAAUAUAUGCUUUUUUCAAGGCCAUUAUGGUCCUUGAGAUAAAUAAAUGGCGGUGUUGAAAACCCAAACUAUAUAUCAUGAUCCGGAUCAUCAAAAUUUUCUCAUUUUUAUAAGCUUGAAUAUAUUGUGUUUAUGUUUUCUUAUUUGGGUGGGUGGGGGUCAACCUGGAGUGCAUCCUCACGAUUUUUCUCAAGAAUUUGGGUUAAAGACUUCAAUGCUUCUUCCUGAAAAACAACUAACACAUCAGCUGUUAGUAUUGCACUAGUAGUAUACAUUUUCCAUGGUAAUACAAAAUAUAUAUAACUAAAAAAAGAUAUCAGCUCAAAAUUUUUAAAGUUGUUGAACAUUAACGUAAAAGGCUAAUUAAACAAACCCUGGCAAGGGCGAGUUCAUAACCAGAAGGCUUAAUGGACCCAAUUCUCUCUAGCUUUGUAGGAAGAGGUGGUUUUUGGUUUUCCAUUUUCUGGAAAUACCAAAAGGAAAAAAAGAAGAAGAGGAAAAUAUUGAGAGAUGAAAGUGCUACUUUCUUUAGAGAAAGGUUCUGGUGUUUGCUUG
rnacentral:lncRNA from 1 species